rnacentral:rRNA from 1 species
UACGGGGGGGGCAAGCGUUGUUCGGAAUUACUGGGCGUAAAGGGCUCGUAGGCGGCCAACUAAGUCAUACGUGAAAUCCCUCGGCUUAACCGGGGAACUGCGUCUGAUACUGGAUGGCUUGAGUUCGGGAGAGGGAUGCGGAAUUCCAGGUGUAGCGGUGAAAUGCGUAGAUAUCUGGAGGAACACCGGUGGCGAAGGCGGCAUCCUGGACCGAUACUGACACUGAGAGACGAAAGCUAGGGGAGCGAAUGGG